rnacentral:sRNA from 1 species
UGUCUUCUGGUUUUUGUCUGUUUGUUUUGUUUUUGUUUUGUUGCCUCCCACUUCGGAUGAGGAAGCCGUCCUCGUUCUCCAAAUGAUUUGCUGGCCUUGUUCCGGUAUCCGAGGGAUCCUUACACAGUUGAACAGGCACGGGCGGGAGAAAUCUUUGAACGGACAUUGCAGCUCAUUCAGGAGCAUGUGCAGCAUGGCUUGAUGGUCGACCUCAACGGAACAAGUUACCACUACAACGACCUGGUGUCUCCGCAGUACCUGAACCUCAUCGCAAACCUGUCUGGCUGCACCGCCCACCGGCGCGUGAACAACUGCUCAGACAUGUGCUUCCACCAGAAGUACCGGACGCAUGAUGGCACCUGCAACAACCUGCAGCACCCCAUGUGGGGCGCCUCGCUGACCGCCUUCGAGCGCCUGCUGAAAUCCGUGUACGAGAAUGGAUUCAACACCCCUCGGGGCAUCAACCCCCACCGACUGUACAACGGGCACGCACUUCCCAUGCCGCGCCUGGUGUCCACCACCCUGAUCGGGACG